rnacentral:rRNA from 1 species
CGGAUUGAUGGGAGCUUGCUCCCAUCAGUCAGCGGCGGACGGGUGAGUAACACGUGGGUAACCUGCCUGUAAGACUGGGAUAACUCCGGGAAACCGGGGCUAAUACCGGAUAACUCAUUUCCUCGCAUGAGGAAAUGUUGAAAGGUGGCUUUUAGCUAUCACUUACAGAUGGACCCGCGGCGCAUUAGCUAGUUGGUGAGGUAAUGGCUCACCAAGGCGACGAUGCGUAGCCGACCUGAGAGGGUGAUCGGCCACACUGGGACUGAGACACGGCCCAGACUCCUACGGGAGGCAGCAGUAGGGAAUCUUCCGCAAUGGACGAAAGUCUGACGGAGCAACGCCGCGUGAGUGAUGAAGGUUUUCGGAUCGUAAAGCUCUGUUGUUAGGGAAGAACAAGUACCGUUCGAAUAGGGCGGUACCUUGACGGUACCUAACCAGAAAGCCACGGCUAACUACGUGCCAGCAGCCGCGGUAAUACGUAGGUGGCAAGCGUUGUCCGGAAUUAUUGGGCGUAAAGCGCGCGCAGGUGGUUCCUUAAGUCUGAUGUGAAAGCCCACGGCUCAACCGUGGAGGGUCAUUGGAAACUGGGGAACUUGAGUGCAGAAGAGGAAAGUGGAAUUCCAGUGUAGCGGUGAAAUGCGUAGAUAUUUGGAGGAACACCAGUGGCGAAGGCGACUUUCUGGUCUGUAACUGA